rnacentral:rRNA from 1 species
GACAGAGGGGGCAAGCGUUAAUCGGAAUUACUGGGCGUAAAGCGUGCGCAGGCGGUUCGUUGUGUCGGCGGUGAAAGCCCCGGGCUCAACCUGGGAAUGGCCGUUGAAACUGGCGAACUGGAGUGUGGCAGAGGGGGGUGGAAUUCCGCGUGUAGCAGUGAAAUGCGUAGAGAUGCGGAGGAACACCGAUGGCGAAGGCAGCCCCCUGGGCUAACACUGACGCUCAGGCACGAAAGCGUGGGGAGCAAACAGG